rnacentral:rRNA from 1 species
CCUACGGGCGGCAGCAGUGAGGAAUAUUGGUCAAUGGACGCGAGUCUGAACCAGCCAAGUAGCGUGAAGGAUGACUGCCCUAUGGGUUGUAAACUUCUUUUAUAAAGGAAUAAAACGACGCACGUGUGCCUUUUUGCAUGUACUUUAUGAAUAAGGAUCGGCUAACUCCGUGCCAGCAGCCGCGGUAAUACGGAGGGUCCGAGCGUUAUCCGGAUUUGUUGGGUUUAAAGGGAGCGUAGAUGGGUUGUUAAGUCAGUUGUGAAAGUUUGCGGCUCAACCGUAAAAUUGCAAUUGAUACUGGCAGUCUUGAGUACUGUUGAGGUAGGCGGAAUUCGUGGUGUAGCGGUGAAAUGCUUAGAUAUCACGAAGAACCCCGAUUGCGAAGGCAGCUUACUAAACUGUGACUGACAUUGAUGCUCGAAAGUGUGGGUAUCAAACAGGAUUAGAUACCCCUGUAGUC